rnacentral:rRNA from 1 species
UACGAAGGGGGGCUAGCGUUGCUCGGAAUUACUGGGCGUAAAGCGCACGUAGGCGGCUUUCUAAGUCGGGGGUGAAAUCCUGGAGCUCAACUCCAGAACUGCCUUCGAUACUGGAAAGCUCGAGUCCGGGAGAGGUGAGUGGAACUGCGAGUGUAGAGGUGAAAUUCGUAGAUAUUCGCAAGAACACCAGUGGCGAAGGCGACUCGCUGGACAAGUAUUGACGCUGAGGUGCGAAAGCGUGGGGAGCAAACAGG